UGCACACAUCUUCUUCUCCAAGGUUUGUGUGCAGAACAUCCUGCCCAUGCUGCCCCAGCAGCUUCAGUUGGCACCUGCCUCAGUCCAGCCUCUGGGAACCAUGCAGCAGCUCCCAGCGGCCCUGCACCCACCACCAGCAUCCGUUUCACCUGCAGUUGAAGAUCCGUGAGGUGCCCAGAAGAUCAUGCAGUCAUCAGUCCCACGGAGCAGCCUGCGAGGCUGAGGCUCCUCCCACUGGACCGCCCCCCAACUGGCACCACUGCUGCCCCUGCCCCUACUCUCAGCUUCACGUGACUCUCGGGCAGAAGCAGUGGUGGGGCAGCCAGGGCAGCGUCAAGAGUCUGAGCCAGCUGCAGGACAAGUUCGAGCAUCUUAAAAUGAUUCAACAGGAGGAGAUAAGGAAGCUCGAGGAAGAGAAAAAACAACUGGAAGGAGAAAUCAUAGAUUUUUAUAAAAUGAAAGCUGCCUCUGAAGCACUGCAGACUCAGCUGAGCACCGAUACAAAGAAAGACAAACAUCCUGAUCCAUAUGAAUUCCUCUUAUUAAGAAAAAUAAAGCAUCCAGGAUUCAAUGAAGAACUGACUAUCACCUUGUUAAUCAUUCAGAAACAUGUUGCAGGCUUAAGCCAUUUUUGAUAUAGAUACUGAAACAAUUACUUGCUAAGAGCAAACUUGAAGGUAUGGAUAAGGCCCUGAGUCAUCUUCCUGAGCUGAAUGAUAGUUAAGCU
ensembl:lncRNA novel transcript